GACGAACGCUGGCGGCGUGCUUAACACAUGCAAGUCGAACGGAAAGGCCCUGCUUUUGUGGGGUGCUCGAGUGGCGAACGGGUGAGUAACACGUGAGUAACCUGCCCUUGACUUUGGGAUAACUUCAGGAAACUGGGGCUAAUACCGGAUAGGAGCUCCUGCUGCAUGGUGGGGGUUGGAAAGUUUCGGCGGUUGGGGAUGGACUCGCGGCUUAUCAGCUUGUUGGUGGGGUAGUGGCUUACCAAGGCUUUGACGGGUAGCCGGCCUGAGAGGGUGACCGGCCACAUUGGGACUGAGCUACGGCCCAGACUCCUACGGGAGGCAGCAGUGGGGAAUAUUGCACAAUGGGCGGACGCCUGAUGCAGCAACGCCGCGUGCGGGAUGACGGCCUUCGGGUUGUAAACCGCUUUCGCCUGUGACGAAGCGUGAGUGACGGUAAUGGGUAAAGAAGCACCGGCUAACUACGUG
rnacentral:rRNA from 1 species